GGGCAGUGACACCCAGUCGUUAUGUCACCCUAAAGCUGGACUUAGAGUCACAGUCAUGGAAAUUCUGGGCAGUAGCAGAGACUUGCAGUCACUAACCAAUAGGAUGCCGUUGGAUGUUGCUACCCAACUGACUCA
rnacentral:sRNA from 26 species